AGUGAACGCUGGCGGUAGGCCUAACACAUGCAAGUCGAACGGCAGCACAGUAAGAGCUUGCUCUUACGGGUGGCGAGUGGCGGACGGGUGAGGAAUACAUCGGAAUCUACUUUUUCGUGGGGGAUAACGUAGGGAAACUUACGCUAAUACCGCAUACGACCUACGGGUGAAAGCAGGGGAUCUUCGGACCUUGCGCGAUUGAAUGAGCCGAUGUCGGAUUAGCUAGUUGGCGGGGUAAAGGCCCACCAAGGCGACGAUCCGUAGCUGGUCUGAGAGGAUGAUCAGCCACACUGGAACUGAGACACGGUCCAGACCCCUACGGGAGGCAGGAGUGGGGAAUAUUGGACAAUGGGCGCAAGCCUGAUCCAGCCAUACCGCGUGGGUGAAGAAGGCCUUCGGGUUGUAAAGCCCUUUUGUUGGGAAAGAAAAGCAGCAGGUUAAUACCCCGCUGUUCUGACGGUACCCAAAGAAUAAGCACCGGCUAACUUCGU
rnacentral:rRNA from 1 species